AUUGAAACCCCGGUUCCCGUACGAUCACCGAUGUUAAGCAAAGCCGAGCCUGGUCAGUACAUAGAUGAGUAGCCUCUUAGGAAUACCAGAUGUUGUAAG